GACGUAGGGCGCGAGCGUUGUCCGGAUUUAUUGGGCGUAAAGAGCUCGUAGGCGGCUUGUCGCGUCGAAUGUGAAAACUCGGGGCUCAACUCCGAGCUUGCAUUCGAUACGGGCAGGCUAGAGUUCGGUAGGGGAGACUGGAAUUCCUGGUGUAGCGGUGAAAUGCGCAGAUAUCAGGAGGAACACCCGUAGCGAAGGCGGCACUCUGGGCCGGAACUGACGCUGAGGAGCGAAAGCGUGGGGAGCGAACAGG
rnacentral:rRNA from 1 species